UAUAUUUAAAUAUAUUUUGAAAACACUUGAUGGUCACGCGCUGUACUGGAGUCACCAUGGAAACGGGGCUCAGCUCAACCGUCAAGCAGCUGAACAGACGCUGUCUCUCAUGGUUGUUUUCACUAAUUUCAGAAAUGGUCAGUGUCUUCAGAAAAAGUCCGUUAGCAUCUCAACUGUAAUGCUAACUACAAGAGUUAUUUUGAUGUCCACACUGUAAGAGUAUUAAUCGAUUCUUCCAUGCUGAUGGCCAUGCCUGUAUCCAGCUGAAGAACAUUUUUAGACAUUAUGAAACAUAUAACUAGUAAGUAAUACCUCAAACAUACACUAUUAUUCAAACGUUUAAGGGUCAGAUUUAUCAUGUAUUUACAUUGACAUUUAUUCAUUUAGCAGGCUCUUUUAUCCAAAGCGACUUACAGAUGAAGACAGUAGAAGCAAUC